rnacentral:rRNA from 1 species
AGCGAACGCUGGCGGCAGGCCUAACACAUGCAAGUCGAACGAACUCUUCGGAGUUAGUGGCGGACGGGUGAGUAACACGUGGGAACGUGCCUUUUGGUUCGGAAUAACUCAGGGAAACUUGUGCUAAUACCGAAUGUGCCCUUCGGGGGAAAGAUUUAUCGCCAUUAGAGCGGCCCGCGUCUGAUUAGCUAGUUGGUGAGGUAAAAGGUCACCAAGGCGAAGGUCAGUAGCUGGUCCGAGCGGAUGACCAGGCACACUGGGACUGAGACACGGCCCAGACUCCUACGGGAGGCAGCAGUGGGGAAUCUUGCGCAAUGGGCGAAAGCCUGACGCAGCCAUGCCGCGUGAAUGAUGAAGGUCUUAGGAUUGUAAAAUUCUUUCACCGGGGACGAUAAUGACGGUACCCGGAGAAGAAGCCCCGGCUAACUUCGUGCCAGCAGCCGCCGUAA